rnacentral:rRNA from 1 species
AACGAACGCUGGCGGCAGGCCUAACACAUGCAAGUCGAGCGAGGACUUCGGUUCUAGCGGCGGACGGGUGAGUAACGCGUGGGAAUGUGCCCUUCUCUACGGAAUAGCCCUGGGAAACUGGGAGUAAUACCGUAUACGCCCUAUUGGGGAAAGAUUUAUCGGAGAAGGAUCAGCCCGCGUUGGAUUAGGUAGUUGGUGGGGUAAUGGCCUACCAAGCCGACGAUCCAUAGCUGGUUUGAGAGGAUGAUCAGCGACACUGGGACUGAGACACGGCCCAGACUCCUACGGGAGGCAGCAGUGGGGAAUCUUAGACAAUGGGGGCAACGCUGAUCUAGCCAUGCCGCGUGAGUGAUGAAGGCCUUAGGGUUGUAAAGCUCUUUCAGCUGGGAAGAUAAUGACGGUACCAGCAGAAGAAGCCCCGGCUAACUCCGUG